rnacentral:pre_miRNA from 1 species
UAUAAUUUUUGACUCUUCGUCUUAUUUAAAUUUCUUUUGUAAUUGAUAUUUUUGUUUUUAAUAGAUGAUAAAUCAUAAAUAGUACUUUACGUGUGACUAUUUUUUUCUAAUUUUCUGAAAUUUUUUUAAUAAAACGGAUGGUCAAAUGUUGGACACGGAAACU